CAAAAUCAGAGAGCCCUUCAGCAUAUGAACCAUCUGCUUGCUGCAGUACUUCUCCAGUCAGACUGGCUCCGGGGAGUUCAUCGUGUUCUUGGUGAUCUGCAACAUUUCUUGGGCAAUUCAACAUUUUCAAACCCCGGGCAAAUGCUGUCUCAUGGAGAAGCCUCACAGAGUUAAAGGUGUCAGUGGUAAAUUAGUGACUGCGGCAUCAAGCCAAGGAGUUUCAGAGUCAGAACAAAAGAAUUUGCUCAAAGAACCAGCACAUUUUUCAUUCUGAUGGUUGGAUGAAAGCCGGCCAGCUUCUGCCUGCCAUCUCUGAGACUUCCAAGUCAAGGUUCUCCAUGGGUCUCUAUAUUACAACAACUCCUUACUCCAUACUCUUCGGGUACUUGCAUUCUCCAGAGCAUCAGGCAAAUGGAGUUUCAUGGGGAAGCCUCACAGAGUUCAAGCAAAAGAGACAGAUGCCAACCACCAGACCAGGAUGCCCAGAGCCACAUCCAGCCUGGCCUCGAAUGUCUGCAGGGAUGGGGCAUCCACAGCCUUCUUGGGCAACCUGCUCCAUAUAUAUGGAGACCUACACGCCGUCAGUGACACUAUUGCUUGUGACAGGCUCAUGCUGAGCUUUUCAUGCUGCAGUUAGUGCAAAGGAAUCUGUAUGUAAUGAUGAAGCAGUCACAGUAAAACAUUUUUAUUUGUACUCAAGGAAUUCUUUUCACAAAGAAAGCUUCAGAAAUAAACUAGAAACGGUUCUUCUCCACUCCCAUUCUAGAAAAGUUCAUUUUCAAGAAAGCAAGUGUGCAAUUCAUUGCAGCUGGAGGAUUUUUCAUACUGCCCACCCCAGUCCAUCACCAGAGGAUACAGAAACCCUCAUGGGAUCCCCGGGGCAGCAGCAGACAAGGUGUGGGCACGGGGAACCUCAAUCUGGAGUGGAAACAGAACCAACUCAGCAGGGCUUCUCCUCACCGAAGCCUAGAAAGGAUUGGCCUUGUUUGAGAG
ensembl:lncRNA